GCAGUGAAUAUCACACAUCUGCAGUGUUUCCGAUCACUAAAACAGACUAACACUCAAGAAAGAUGCAGGCCAUUGGAGUAAAGCUUGUGGCUCUCACAGUCAUCAUGAUGUUGGUCUCCAGCUCUUUGGCUAAACCUACCCAUGUGAUUGAAAAGCGCUCCAGUGAAGAGAAAACGUCUUCCACCUCCACCUCCUCCUCCUCCACCAUCAGCUUUAAAGACCUUACUGAGAUUAUCAAGAUUCUGCAGCUUCUCCAGCAGCUACAGGCAUCUUGAGCACCAAGACACGAUGAUGCUGUCCAUGAAUGACAUGACUUGUCUUUAAAUAAAGCAAUAAGGAACAUGUAAACGUUUAAA